rnacentral:rRNA from 1 species
UGUUCCUACGGGACGCAGCAGUGAGGAAUAUUGGUAAAUGGCCGCAGGGCUGAACCAGCCAAGUCGCGUGAGGGAUGACGGUCCUAUGGAUUGUAAACCUCUUUUGUCAGGGAGCAAAGGGCGCCACGUGUGGCGUUUUGCGAGUACCUGAAGAAAAAGCAUCGGCUAACUCCGUGCCAGCAGCCGCGGUAAUACGGAGGAUGCGAGCGUUAUCCGGAUUUAUUGGGUUUAAAGGGGGCGCAGGCGGAAUGUCAAGUCAGCGGUAAAAUUUCGGGGCUCAACCACGACGUGCCG